CAAGUUGAGAGUUUGAUCCUGGCUCAGAGCGAACAUUGGCGGCAGGCUUAACACAUGCAAGUCGAGCGAGGCUUUUAGCCGAGCGGCGAACGGGUGCGUAAUACAUAGGAAUCUGCCCUGAAGUGGGGGACAACGUUCAGAAAUGAACGCUAAUACCGCAUAAUCCACAUUGGGAAAGCGCGCUGCGCUUUAGGAUGAGCCUAUGGCCGAUUAGCUAGUUGGUAGGGUAAAGGCCUACCAAGGCGAUGAUCGGUAGCUGGUCUGAGAGGAUGAUCAGCCACACUGGAACUGAGACACGGUCCAGACUCCUACGGGAGGCAGCAGUGGGGAAUCUUGCACAAUGGGGGCAACCCUGAUGCAGCCAUGCCGCGUGUGUGAUGAAGGUCUUCGGAUUGUAAAGCACUUUCAGCGGGGACGACGAUGACGGUACCCGCAGAAGAAGUCACGGCUAACUUCGUGCCAGCAGCCGCGGUAAUACGAAGGUGGCGAAUGUUGCUCGGAUUCACUGGGCGUAAAGCGUCGGUAGGUGGUGUGUUAAGUCAGAGGUGAAAGCCCCGCGCUCAACGUGGGAAUUGCCUUUGAAACUAGCGCACUUGAGAAUACCAGAGGAUGGCGGAAUAUCCGGUGUAGAGGUAAAAUUCAUAGAUAUCGGAUGGAACACCCACGGCGAAGGCAGCUAUCUGGGGUAUUUCUGACACUGAGCGACGACAGCGUGGGGAUCAAACAGGAUUAGAUACCCUGGUAGUCCACGCCGUAAACGAUGCAUGUUCGUUGUCGGGUUCGCUACAGAACUCGGUGACUUAGCUAACGCGGUAAACAUGCCGCCUGGGGAUUACGGCCGCAAGGUUAAAACUCAAAGGAAUUGACGGGGACCCGCACAAGUGGUGGAGCAUGUCCUUUAAUUCGACGAUACGCGAAGAACCUUACCUAGCCUUGACAUCCCGUUAGACCUUCCCCGAAAAGGGAGGGGCAUUUAGUUGGAACGGAGACAGGUGUUGCAUGGCUGUCGUCAGCUCGUGUCGUGAGAUGUUGGGUUAAGUCCCGCAACGAGCGCAACCCUCGCCCUUAAUUGCCAGCAUUCAGUUGGGCACUUUAGGGGAACCGCCGCUGAUAAAGCGGAGGAAGGUGGGGACGACGUCAAGUCAUCAUGGCCCUUACGGCUAGGGCGAGAGACGUGCUACAAUGGCGCUUACAGAGGGAAGCCAACCCGCAAGGGGGAGCAAAUCCUAUAAAAAGCGUCUCAGUUCGGAUUGUCGUCUGCAACUCGACGGCAUGAAGCUGGAAUCACUAGUAAUCGCGGAUCAGCCAUGCCGCGGUGAAUACAGUUCCCGGGUCUUGUACACACCGCCUGUCAAGCCAUGGGAGAUGGGGAUACCUUAAGCCGGUGCGCUAACCGCAAGGAAGCAGCCGUCCACGGUACAACCAUUGACUGGGGCUAAGUCAUAACAAGGUAGGCGUACGGGAACGUGCGCCUGGAUCACCUCCUUUCUA
rnacentral:rRNA from 1 species